rnacentral:tRNA from 1 species
AAGGAUAUAGCUCAGUGGUAGAGCAUGUGCUUUGCAUGCACGAGGUCCUGGUUCAGUCCCCAGUAGCUUCA